rnacentral:rRNA from 1 species
GACGAACCGUGCGAACGUUAUUCGGAAUCACUGGGCUUAAAGCGCGUGUAGGCGGGCCGGCGCGUCGGCUGCUGAAAUCCCCCGGCUCAACCGGGGAAGGGGCACCGAUACGGCCGGCCUGGAGGGGGGUAGGGGGGACGGGAACUUCCGGUGGAGCGGUGAAAUGCGUUGAGAUCGGAAAGAACGCCCGCGGCGAAAGCGCGUCCCUGGACCCCGCCUGACGCUGAGACGCGAAAGCCAGGGGAGCGAACGGG